rnacentral:rRNA from 1 species
GACGAACGCUGGCGGCGUGCUUAACACAUGCAAGUCGAACGGAAAGGCCCUUCGGGGUACUCGAGUGGCGAACGGGUGAGUAACACGCGGGUGAUCUGCCCUGCACUUUGGGAUAAGCCUGGGAAACUGGGUCUAAUACCGAAUAGGACCACGCGCUUCAUGGUGUGUGGUGGAAAGCUUUUGCGGUGUGGGAUGGGCCCGCGGCCUAUCAGCUUGUUGGUGGGGUAAUGGCCUACCAAGGCGACGACGGGUAGCCGGCCUGAGAGGGUGACCGGCCACACUGGGACUGAGAUACGGCCCAGACUCCUACGGGAGGCAGCAGUGGGGAAUAUUGCACAAUGGGCGCAAGCCUGAUGCAGCGACGCCGCGUGAGGGAUGACGGCCUUCGGGUUGUAAACCUCUUUCAAUAGGGACGAAGCGCAAGUGACGGUACCUAUAGAAGAAGCACCGGCCAACUACGUG